UGGGGAAUAUUGGACAAUGGGGGGAACCCUGAUCCAGCGACGCCGCGUGAGUGAAGAAGUAUUUCGGUAUGUAAAGCUCUAUCAGCAGGGAAGAAAAUGACGGUACCUGACUAAGAAGCCCCGGCUAACUACGUGCCAGCAGCCGCGGUAAUACGUAGGGGGCAAGCGUUAUCCGGAUUUACUGGGUGUAAAGGGAGCGCAGACGGUUUUGCAAGUCUGAAGUGAAAGCCCGAGGCUUAACCUCGGAGUUGCAUUGGAAACUGUAUAACUAGAGUAUCGGAGAGGUAAGUGGAAUUCCUAGUGUAGCGGUGAAAUGCGUAGAUAUUAGGAGGAACACCGGUGGCGAAGGCGGCUUACUGGACGAAAACUGACGUUGAGGCUCGAAGGCGUGGGGAGCAAACAGG
rnacentral:rRNA from 1 species